GGGGGGUGGUCGGGAAUUGGGGCAGUCAGGGCUCCUCAGAGAACAGAAGGUUCAGCUUCAGAGACUGCAGGAAACGAAGCUCAGGAUUCUAGGGGAAUACAAAGUCAAAGGGCAGGCAGGAAGGCCCUCUCUCCCUUUUCUUUUAGGGAUACCAGAUCCAUUGCUAGGCCUACGGUGUUUCCGCUCAGCCUCCCCUUCCAUGGGAGAAUGAAAUGGAGAGAAGUUCCUUGUAAAGUGUUGCAGUCGUGAGAUGCUCUAGGAAGCCCGGGGAAGGAGCGCUCCGUUCGUUGGUUCAUUCAAUGAUCGUUCCCUGAGCUUGGGCCGUGCCCCGCGACGUGCUGAGAUGCUGGUGCGCCCGGGCGCACGAUCCGAGCCCAGCCCUCGCCGUCGCUGCGCGUUCUUGGCACUUUGUAUGCACUGGAGUCUUUGCCCUGCGCUCUGCACAGUAUCACUAGCGCCUUCUGCCGAUGGAGAAACUGACUCGAGAGGUUAAGAGACUUCCCCAAGAGCCAACAGCUAAAUCUUGGAACCGGCGUCCACACCCAGGUCUGUGGAUUCCAGUGUCCCAGUGCCCUAUCUUACGUUUCCUUUUCAAAAUAAACUGAUGAUUGUAAAUAGAAAAUAAAGCCACUGCCUCCGAGAUGGAGUUUAUAAUCAGUCUAAGGAGUUGAAAAUACUACCAGACAAUGCAAUUUAGAAAAAAAAAAAUUUUGAAGGCGGCCAUAAGGCUCAAAAGGAAGUCGAUGGCAAAUGAUCAAAGUGAGGUGGAGAUUAUCAGAGCCUUCCUGCAGGAGAUGGAUUCUGAGCUGGAUUAUGCGGUGGUGAUGGGGCCAGGAUCACCGGUGGUGUGUGUGUCUGUGUCUGUGUGAUGUGGUGCCAAGAAAAAGAACAAUCUAAGGGCAUCAGACCAGGACCCAGAGCUCGGCAGACUGGAUGGCCAGUGGAUCCCUCUGUAACCUCCAAAGCCACUGGUUGCGCUCACUCUCCUUUCUGCCUCCUACCCCCUCAGUGGUUUUCUUACUGGGGCAAAGGCUCCCAGGAGGCAGCUGUACUCAUUCCACCCUUCCUUCAAGGACUUCACAAUUAGUAUUUGACACAAACCUCCUGCUGUUAACUUGGAUGUCAGCUUCUCCUUUCUCCACCCCUCUGUGAGAUUUUGGGAAAUGAAAACUAGUGGCCCCUCAAAACAAGAAGUCCACUGAGUGAGCCUCAGGAAGCCAAUAAGCUUGAUGGGAAUGAGACCAAGUUGGGAGACAGAUCUGGAAGGAAGAGAAAGGAGUUCCACCAAAUGCAUCUGUCACUUACGGAACAUGUGCUGCCUUCCUGGUAUGCACCCAGCCCUAGGCGUGCUCUGUGGUCCCGGUCUGUGAAUUAAUCCGGGUGCCUUCAUGUGGAACACACAGGUUAGCAGCUAGUGUACCCAGUGAGCUUGAUUGAGGAGUGUGAAGUGAUAACCUACACAAUAAAUGAUGUUUGAGAAAGGUUAUUCCAGCGGAAUAUGUAGGAGGAAGGAAAAACCUGAGUCAGAAAGAACAGUGUGGCAACAGCUGGGGAAUUUGGGCCAAAGGUGCAAUCUGUGGGGCUGGCGAGGAAACGAUGAAUGAGGAAAACAAUAAUAUAUCUUGUAGUAAAGCAACAAGGAGAAUCUGGUAAUGGACCAGAUGUAGGAUGGUGAAGGAGGAAAUAGUUAAAAAUGAAUCCACCUUUAUGGUGAGUUUGGGGUAUGGAAGGGUCAUGUUGGGCAAUCCGGAGGAGCUGGCAUGAGGGACAUGAGGAUGAAUUCAGUCACUUCUAGGCCAUGUGAGAGCAGCUGUCCUAUAGGUGACUGGAUUCAGAGAAAGGAGAAGUCCACAAGGGCACUGGACUGCCUUGUGGGAGAGACCCUGUUACUGUAGGUGUGCAGACAGCGUUAGCAUAAUCACUGACCUUAGAUAUUAUGGGCAGAUUUCAUACAUCAGCAAGAAGGUGGGAGUCAAUGACAAUGACACUACCUCCUGACUGGGGAUUGGGUGAGCACUGGCUGGGUGAGCC